rnacentral:rRNA from 1 species
AAACUCUUCGGAGGGCGAUCUUGGGCGUCGAGUGGCGGACGGGUGAGUAACGCGUGGGAAUCUACCCUUUAGUUGGGGACAACAUAUGGAAACGUAUGCUAAUACCGAAUAUGCUCUACGGAGUAAAGGUGGCCUCUACUUGUAAGCUAUCGCUAAAGGAUGAGCCCGCGUUAGAUUAGCUAGUUGGUGGGGUAAAGGCCUACCAAGGCGACGAUCUAUAGCUGGUUUGAGAGGAUGAUCAGCCACACUGGGACUGAGACACGGCCCAGACUCCUACGGGAGGCAGCAGUGGGGAAUAUUGCACAAUGAGGGAAACCUUGAUGCAGCCAUGCCGCGUGUGUGAAGAAGGCCCGAGGGUUGUAAAGCACUUUCAAUUGUGAGGAAAGGUUAGUCGCUAAUAUCGGCUAGCUGUGACGUUAACUUUAGAAGAAGCACCGGCUAACUCUGUGCCAGCAGCCGCGGUAAUACAGAGGGUGCAAGCGUUAUUCGGAAUUACUGGGCGUAAAGCGCGCGUAGGCGGACUGUUAAGUCGGUUGUGAAAGCCCUGGGCUCAACCUAGGAAUUGCAUCCGAUACUGGCAAUCUAGAGUUUAGGAGA